AAAAGUAAUUGAGGUUUUU
rnacentral:miRNA from 1 species